AGAGUUUGAUCCGGGAUUAGGACGAACGCUGGCGGCGUGCGUAACACAUGCAAGUUGAGCGACGACGUUUCCGAAGUGGCGACAUGGAGGGGACGAGCGGAGCAGCGGACGGGUGAGUAAUACAUGAGAAGCUGUCCUGUGGUGGGGGACAACGUCUGGAAACGGACGCUAAUACCCCAUAGUCUGAGAGGUUAAAGCCGAAAGGCGCCAUGGGAGGCGCUCGUGUCCUAUCAUCUAGUUGGUGAGGUAACGGCUCACCAAGGCGACGACGGGUAGCCGGCCUGAGAGGGUGUCCGGCCACACUGGAACUGAGACACGGUCCAGACUCCUACGGGAGGCAGCAGUGGGGAAUCUUCCGCAAUGGGCGAAAGCCUGACGGAGCAACGCCGCGUGAGUGAAGAAGGCCUUCGGGUCGUAAAGCUCUGUUGUCGGGGACGAAUGUGCGGAUUAUCAACAACGAUCUGCAAUGACGGUACCUGACGAGGGAGCCACGGCUAACUACGUGCCAGCAGCCGCGGUAAUACGUAGGUGGCGAGCGUUGUCCGGAAUUAUUGGGCGUAAAGGGAGCGCAGGCGGGAGGCCAAGUCCAUCCUAAAAGUUCGGGGCUCAACCCCGUGAGGGGGUGGAAACUGGUCUUCUUGAGUGCAGGAGAGGAAAGCGGAAUUCCUAGUGUAGCGGUGAAAUGCGUACAUAUUAGGAGGAACACCAGUGGCGAAGGCGGCUUUCUGGACUGUAACUGACGCUGAGGCUCGACAGCGUGGGGAGCAAACAGGAUUAGAUACCUUGGUAGUCCUCGUCAUUACGCGAUGAAUGUUAGGUGUAUGAGGUAUCGACCCCUCUUGUGCAGGAGUUCACGCAAUAAGCCUUCCGCCUGGGGAGUCCGGCCGCAAGGCUGAAACUCAAAGGAAUUGACGGGGGCCCGCACAAGCGGUGGAGUAUGUGGUUUAAUUUGAAGCAACGCGAAGAACCUUACCAGGACUCGACAUCCCCCUGACAGGGCUUUAAAAGUCCCAUUUUUCGGACAGGGGAGACAGGUGGUGCAUGGUCGUCGUCAGCUAAAGUCGUGAGAUGUUGGGUUAAGUCCCGCAACGAGCGCAACCCUUGCCAUUAGUUGCCAUCAUCAAGUUGGGCACUCUAGAGGGACUCCCGGGGACAACUCGGAGGAAGGUGGGGAAGACGUCAAAUCAUCAUGCCCCUUAUGUUCCAGGCUACACACGUGCUACAAUGGCCGGUACAGCAGGAAGCGAAGCCGUGAGGCGGAGCGAACCCCAAAAGCCGGUCCCAGUUCGGUCUGCAGGUUGCAACCCUCGUGCAUGAAGUGGGAGUUGGUAGUAAUCGCGGAUCAGCACGCCGCGGUGAAUGCGUUCCCGGGUCUUGUACACACCGCCCGUCACUCCAUGGAAGUUGGUCGUGCCUGAAGUCGUAAC
rnacentral:rRNA from 1 species